GUGCUUGCUUUAGCAGUACAUAUACUAAAAUUGGGAUGGUACAGAGAAGGUUAGUGUGGCUCCUGUGCAAGGAUGACAUGCAAAUUCCUGGAGCAUUCCAUAUUUUU